rnacentral:rRNA from 1 species
UGCCAGCAGCCGCGGUAAUACGGAGGGGGUUAGCGUUGUUCGGAAUUACUGGGCGUAAAGCGCACGUAGGCGGACUGGAAAGUUGGGGGUGAAAUCCCAGGGCUCAACCCUGGAACUGCCUCCAAAACUAUCAGUCUAGAGUUCGAGAGAGGUGAGUGGAAUUCCGAGUGUAGAGGUGAAAUUCGUAGAUAUUCGGAGGAACACCAGUGGCGAAGGCGACUUUCUGGCUCGUAACUGACGCUGAGGCACGAAAGCGUGGGGAGCAAACAGGAUUAGAUA